rnacentral:rRNA from 1 species
UACGGAGGGAGCUAGCGUUGUUCGGAAUUACUGGGCGUAAAGCGCACGUAGGCGGCUACUCAAGUCAGGGGUGAAAUCCCGGGGCUCAACCCCGGAACUGCCCUUGAAACUGGGAAGCUAGAAUUCUGGAGAGGUCAGUGGAAUUCCGAGUGUAGAGGUGAAAUUCGUAGAUAUUCGGAAGAACACCAGUGGCGAAGGCGACUGACUGGACAGAUAUUGACGCUGAGGUGCGAAAGCGUGGGGAGCAAACAGG